UACGAAGGGGGCUAGCGUUGCUCGGAAUCACUGGGCGUAAAGGGCGCGUAGGCGGCCGAUUAAGUCGGGGGUGAAAGCCUGUGGCUCAACCACAGAAUUGCCCUUCGAUACUGGUUGGCUUGAGACCGGAAGAGGACAGCGGAACUGCGAGUGUAGAGGUGAAAUUCGUAGAUAUUCGCAAGAACACCAGUGGCGAAGGCGGCUGUCUGGUCCGGUUCUGACGCUGAGGCGCGAAAGCGUGGGGAGCAAACAGG
rnacentral:rRNA from 1 species